rnacentral:pre_miRNA from 1 species
AAACCAAGUGAUGCUCUGUCUAUAAAUGAAGCACAGUCAAUGUAACAAGUUUGUUACAUUGACUGUGUUUCAUUUAUAGACAGAGCAUCGUGAUGCUCU